GAUGAACGCUGGCGGCGUGCCUAAUACAUGCGAGUCGAGCGAACAGACGAGGAGCUUGCUCCUCUGACGUUAGCGGCGGACGGGUGAGUAACACGUGGAUAACCUACCUAUAAGACUGGGAUAACUUCGGGAAACCGGAGCUAAUACCGGAUAAUAUAUUGAACCGCAUGGUUCAAUAGUGAAAGACGGUUUUGCUGUCACUUAUAGAUGGAUCCGCGCCGCAUUAGCUAGUUGGUAAGGUAACGGCUUACCAAGGCAACGAUGCGUAGCCGACCUGAGAGGGUGAUCGGCCACACUGGAACUGAGACACGGUCCAGACUCCUACGGGAGGCAGCAGUAGGGAAUCUUCCGCAAUGGGCGAAAGCCUGACGGAGCAACGCCGCGUGAGUGAUGAAGGUCUUCGGAUCGUAAAACUCUGUUAUUGGGGAAGAACAAAUGUGUAAGUAACUAUGCACGUCUUGACGGUACCUAAUCAGAAAGCCACGGCUAACUACGUG
rnacentral:rRNA from 1 species